GACGAACGCUGGCGGCGUGCUUAACACAUGCAAGUCGAACGGAAAGGCCUCUUUCGGGGGGUACUCGAGUGGCGAACGGGUGAGUAACACGUGAGUAACCUGCCCUUGACUUUGGGAUAACUUCAGGAAACUGGGGCUAAUACCGGAUAGGAGCUCCUGCUGCAUGGUGGGGGUUGGAAAGUUUCGGCGGUUGGGGAUGGACUCGCGGCUUAUCAGCUUGUUGGUGGGGUAGUGGCUUACCAAGGCUUUGCCGGGUAGCCGGCCUGUGAGGGUGACCGGCCACAUUGGGACUGAGAUACGGCCCAGGCUCCUACGGGAGGCAGCAGUGGGGAAUAUUGCACAAUGGGUGGAAGCCUGAUGCAGCAGCGCCGUGUGCGGGAUGACGGCCUUCGGGUUGUAAACCGCUUUCGCUCAUGACGAAGCUUUGUGUGACGGUAGUGGGUAAAGAAGCACCGGCUAACUACGUG
rnacentral:rRNA from 1 species